UACCAGCACCCCGAGUGGUCGGGACGUUUAUUGGGCCUAAAGCAUCCGUAGCCGGUUCUACAAGUCUUCCGUUAAAUCCACCUGCUUAACAGAUGGGCUGCGGAAGAUACUAUAGAGCUAGGAGGCGGGAGAGGCAAGCGGUACUCGAUGGGUAGGAGUAAAAUCCGUUGAUCCAUUGAAGACCACCAGUGGCGAAGGCGGCUUGCCAGAACGCGCUCGACGGUGAGGGAUGAAAGCUGGGGGAGCAAACCGG
rnacentral:rRNA from 1 species